GGGUUGUGAGGUUAAGCGACUAAGCGUACACGGUGGAUGCCCUGGCAGUCAGAGGCGAUGAAGGGCGUGCUAAUCUGCGAUAAGCGCCGGUAAGGUGAUAUGAACCGUUAUAACCGGCGAUACCCGAAUGGGGAAACCCAGUGUGAUUCGUCACACUAUCAUUAACUGAAUCCAUAGGUUAAUGAGGCGAACCGGGGGAACUGAAACAUCUAAGUACCCCGAGGAAAAGAAAUCAACCGAGAUUCCCCCAGUAGCGGCGAGCGAACGGGGAGGAGCCCAGAGCCUGAAUCAGCAUGUGUGUUAGUGGAAGCGUCUGGAAAGGCGCGCGAUACAGGGUGACAGCCCCGUACACAAAAGCGCAUGUGCUGUGAGCUCGAUGAGUAGGGCGGGACACGUGGUAUCCUGUCUGAAUAUGGGGGGACCAUCCUCCAAGGCUAAAUACUCCUGACUGACCGAUAGUGAACCAGUACCGUGAGGGAAAGGCGAAAAGAACCCCGGCGAGGGGAGUGAAAAAGAACCUGAAACCGUGUACGUACAAGCAGUGGGAG
rnacentral:rRNA from 4 species